UGUGACUUCUGCUACUUCUGCGAUUUCUGUGACUCCUGCGAUUUCUGCGACGUACCACCGUAUGAAAAAGUUACAUCUGUCCACACAGAAAAUUGGAUCUCAACAAACCUGUCAUUGGUACCUGAACUACAUUUCAGCCACUCAGUAAAGUGAUAAUUCAAAAUAUCAUUGUCAACAGAUCUGAAGAAAUUGCCAGUCUUUAGACCGUUUUCGUCAGACGAGAGACGCAGUUCUGACUGAUUACUGGUUGCUGUACAUAUCUAUCCACAUCAAGGCUGUUGAGAGAGACUCGUGAAGAUUCAAGACAGCUCUUAGAGGAUUUGCAGUUUAAAAGUGAAAUAAUUGUGAAAUAAGUGUGUGACUGAUUAAAGUGUUUUAUUGAAGUUGUUGUGCGAUU